GGAUUGGGUUUUACUUUUUGCUAUUGAAUUUGGCCCAUAUGUUAUUGAAACACUGUUAUUUAAUGAUUUAGAUAAUCAGUUACCUUAUUUUGAAGUUCCAUUUUGCAAGAGACAGAAGUAUUGAAGAAGUUAUCAUCUAUGGAUCGGCUGGUUUUAUGUGCUGGAGAUGAUACAGUUCAGAAUGAGUGAAGAGCAUAGUCAACUUCCUGCAUCAGAAAUAGUUUCCAGAGAUGGAUGAUUUGAAUAGAAAAUAGCCCUCUUGAUCAUUUUCGUUUGUUCGAAAUCACAUGUUCAUCAUUAUGAGCAAUUUUAACCUCUAUUAUCACAUCAGACUUGAAAACACUUACUUCAAUUGGGUGUACCAUUUUUUUUUUUUUAUGAAAAAAAAAAAGUCAUAGUGGGUUGGGUGUGAUUGUACAUUUGUUGGGUGAAAUUCAUUUAAUCCAAAUCUUGCUAAGGGUACUCUAUUACUUCCA